ACGAGCGCAAUAAGUUUCCAUUAUGGAGUGAUAUGAAUCGAGUAAACUGUUGUAGUAUGGCAGUGAUAAUGGUCAAGAUUGAAGAAAGCCAGACCGAGUUGUAAGAGAAUGCGUGUUGAUCGCGAUGAAUGGCAUGAUGUUGAUGACCGCAGAUGGGAGGACUGAGCCAACUGAACUGAACUGCGUGUUGGAUAUUAUUUGAACAUCUAUUCAAACGUCAAAAUGGAAAUAAUUCAGUGCGUGGCUAGAUGGUCAACAGAUGUAAAUCGUUGCCUGCAAUAGUGCACGUGUCUAGUUGUUCUAUCGGAUCUAUACAGUUGGUUCGGUACAUGUAUCGUCCAAGAGUAUGAGACAGAGGACUCGAAAUUUCGGACACGGGGCGAGUGACCACUGCUAGCGAGCUUUGUGACCAAUGACGUGGCCAGGGUUGCCAGCCAUUAUUACAGUGAGUGAAAGCAGAAAGGAUAGUCCAGGUGCUGAAGCCUCUUGAGGAGCUUGGCAGCGAUGAAAAAACACGUUCACAAGUUUCACCACGAGUGGAUCGCGUCCAUCAGAAUCUCUGGUCUGUACUGUCACCCGGUCGAGCAUUGCCUCUCAAACAUAUUGCCGGUAAUGGCUGGUCCCGUCCUGCUCGGCUCUCACUGUAUGCUGCUGCUGUUGUGGGCCUGCAUCUCGCUGGCCUCCGUGUCCGUCGCACACUGCGGGCCGGCUUCCACCUGCCGUCCAACGAGUACCACGACUACCAUCAUGAAAAGUUCAACCAGAACUUUGGCAUACCGGGAAUCUUUGAUUUGCUGCAUGGCACGGACAGUCACUUCCGUAAAUAAAAGUCGUACGAGCGCCAUUCCAUGCUACUUGCCACCACCCCAGCCAACGUUCUGAUUCCAGACGAACCGAAGAAAUGCCAGUAAAAAGGUUAAGUCUGCAGUGCAUGUGCAUGUGUGCAUCCUCACUGCUGUUGCUAGUCUCCUCCCAGUCCACCCUUGACCGUCCCAUCCUCCAGUUUCAAUGCUAGUCUCCUCACAGACCACCCUUGACCGUCCCAUUCUCCAGUUUUAAUGCUAGUCUCCUCACAGUCCACCCUUGACCGUCCCAUCCUCCAGUUUCAAUGCUAGUCUCCUCACAGACCACCCUUGACCGUCCCAUUCUCCAGUUUCAAUGCUAGUCUCCUCACAGUCCACCCUUGACCGUCCCAUUCUCCAGUUUCAAUGCUAGUCUCCUCACAGUCCACCCUUGACCGUCCCAUUCUCCAGUUUCAAUGCUAGUCUCCUCACAGUCCACCCUUGACCGUCUCAUUCUCCAGUUUCAAUGCUAGUAUCAUCACUACUCUACAUGUAUAUGUAUUUUAGCAUAUCCACCAUCAAUACUGGUCACAUGACAAAUUGCACUUACCUACCCUCACUACUUCAAGUAUGCCGCUGAUAUUAUUAUUUUUAUUCACAUAGCUAUGGGUUUAUUUGUGGCAAAUUCAAUAGUGCCCUAGCUCGGCCAAAUCUGUGUUCUAUAAUGGGUGGUUAUCGACAUCACACUGUUCAAUCCACCAGACUUAUCAGUGUCGACUCUAAUAGCUAAUGUGCAUUUUUCCGAGCCAUCACCAAGAAGUUCUUUUUCUUUCUCAGCUAGGCCCGUUCACAGUUUGUUUCUAUUUCAAUUUCCGCCCUUUCCACCAUCCUGGAAGCAUGGAGAGGGACAGUACCGGUAUUAUGGAUAUUUUUAAGUUACAAGCCGGGCAUUGGCUAUGUCAUCACUCAUCAGUACUACUUUCCGGCUGUACUGCUAUGACAUCACUACUACUUACCGGCUGUACUGCUAUGACAUCACUACUACUUUCCGGCUGUACUGCUAUGACAUCACUACUACUUUCCAGCUGUCCUGCUAUGACAUCACUACUACUUGCUCCCAAGUCACUCUGUUUUCUGUACCCGA